GCUGUGCACUGGGGUUUGGGUCUCUAUCUUUUAUUGACAGUUGUUAAUGAGGGGGUGGGAUAUUCAUUACUUAAAACAAAGAUUCCUUGAAAGCAGGAUGGUCUCUUCCAGGAAUGUGGAUUGUGUCCCUUUUCUUCCUUGUUUGGUCAGAAGCUUCCAGCCUACUUUGUCAACCACCUAGGACCUGUCUGGUUUGAUCCAGUUUAUUAUGGUUCUGUUUUGGAGCUGUGGACAGGCCUCGGACUUUCUCAUAGUUGGCUGUGGCUGCCUCCUUCCUGCCCUCCAGGCCUACUGUUAGAACCUAACUGCUUACUCAACUGCUGAACUCACUUCUAGCCUGCAGAACUACAAGAUAAUGAGCAGGAUGUACAUGGCCUAUUCUGAAGACACAACAAAGGUCAUCUCAUCCAGCCUUCAGAGAUUAGUGCUUACAUAAAUGUGUGAUACCUGGACAUCUGUUCAAAAUCCAUAGGUAUUAUUAUGUACUUGACCUACAAUGAGCAUAGAGCUCUUAAAAUACAGAGAACGACUCCUGCCUCUUUGUAACUUACAGUCUAUAGUAAAGAAAGGCAUUCCCAGCCAAGGAAUUAAAGGCACAAGAUGUGAAAGAAAAUUAUUAGGAGAAAUGGAAAUAAUCUGUAAUAGCUGGAAUAGAGUAUAAGUGGAGAGAGAGCAGAAGAUCAUAACAUAAUCAGAACCAUACAACUCUUAGUGUGAAACUACCUUUAAAAAUUCUAAAUUACUGUGGAAUUUAUGAAUAUUUAAGAAUAUAUAUUAACUAUACGCACUUUGCCAUGUGAUAGCUCUUGAACAACAGCCUUAGUAUUUAUAUUUCCUAUGGAUAUAAAACAUUCAGAAAAUAUUUAAUAAAAGAAUAAUACCUAUGGCUUUCUAAA